rnacentral:rRNA from 1 species
AGAAUUGAUCUGGUCAGGACGAACGCUGGCGGCGUGCUUAACACAUGCAAGUCGAGCGAUGAAGCUCCUCGGGAGUGGAUUAGCGGCGGACGGGUGAGUAACACGUGGGUAACCUGCCUCAUAGAGGGGAAUAGCCUUUCGAAAGGAAGAUUAAUACCGCAUAAGAUUGUAGUACCGCAUGGUACAGCAAUUAAAGGAGUAAUCCGCUAUGAGAUGGACCCGCGUCGCAUUAGCUAGUUGGUGAGGUAACGGCUCACCAAGGCGACGAUGCGUAGCCGACCUGAGAGGGUGAUCGGCCACAUUGGGACUGAGACACGGCCCAGACUCCUACGGGAGGCAGCAGUGGGGAAUAUUGCACAAUGGGGGAAACCCUGAUGCAGCAACGCCGCGUGAGUGAUGACGGCCUUCGGGUUGUAAAACUCUGUCUUUGGGGACGAUAAUGACGGUACCCAAGGAGGAAGCCACGGCUAACUACGUGCCAGCCGCAGC